rnacentral:rRNA from 1 species
UACAGAGGGGGCUAGCGUUGUUUGGAAUUACUGGGCGUAAAGGGCGCGUAGGCGGCUUUGUAAGUCCUGUGUGAAAUCCCCCGGCUCAACUGGGGAACUGCACAGGAGACUGCAUGGCUCGAGUUCGGGAGAGGGAAGCGGAAUUCCGGGUGUAGCGGUGAAAUGCGUAGAUAUCCGGAGGAACACAGGUGGCGAAGGCGGCUUCCUGGACCGACACUGACGCUGAGGCGCGAAAGCUAGGGUAGCAAACGGG